rnacentral:rRNA from 1 species
AACGUAGGAGGCGAGCGUUAUCCGGAGUUACUGGGCGUAAAGAGCGUGUAGGCGGGUACGCAAGUUUGGCGUGAAAGCUCCCGGCUAAACUGGGAGAGUGCGCUGAAGACUGCGUGUCUAGAGGCGAGUAGAGGGACGUGGAAUUCCGGGUGUAGUGGUGAAAUGCGUAGAUAUGUGGAGGAAUACCGAUGGCGAAGGCAGCCUCCUGGGCCAACACUGACGCUCAUGCACGAAAGCGUGGGGAGCAAACAGG